GACGGGGGGAGGACACGAGGGACACAGCCAUGCCCGCCGCCGCGCUCGCACCUGUUGCCGCCGCACUCACCAGCAUCACUCUCUUUUGCUGUCUUGAGGUGCUGCUCUUCGCUGGGCUUCAUUCGCUGCUGGACACUCACCCUUCUGAUGCACAACAGACCCACACCUGCGAUAUCGCCCAUUGGUGAAAACCAAGAGUAAACAUUUAAUGUCUAACAAAAAACAUUACUGUCUUUUUUUCCGGUCUACAGAGGAAACAAUACUGACACCAGCUUACUAAGACAUGGGGUGGUUCAUAUGAGGGAAGUACAAACACAAAAAAAAAUUUGUGUUUUCUUCUUCUUUGCUGCUAAAUUCUUAAGCCUUUCCCCGUCCUUUAAAAAAAAUAAAAUCUACUCAGUUGUCCAACAGUAUUUGUACCAUUUUUAUUUGUAAAAAUAACCAUCUGAAUGCACUGCAAUAGUAGUUUACAGUUACAGUUCUUCAUUACAUUAAUACAGCAUUCAGUAGUUGAAAAAGUUACUAAACUGUGCUUGAGAAGAUUCAGGUUGAAUUCCAAGUCGUUCACCAAAGCGAGUCUCUUUCCUCAUUUCGUACGUGACAUUUACCCAAGUCCUUAGACUUCAACUGACAAAGGCAAACAACACCAACAAAACCCCACUGAAGCCAUCAUACAAUAUUUUAUAUUGUUUAUUACAAAUGUUAUGCAAAAUAUAACACUGGCACCAGAUUCAUAUCACCAUGGUUUGUGAAGAUAUAUUGCACAUGCUAAAGCAUAAAAUAGAAGACAAAACAUAAGAUAUUGGCUUUAAUAUGUAGAUCACUGCAUAAGAAACGCAUAAAAUUACAUUUUAUACACACACUCGGAUUGUCACUAGUUUAAAACGCCCUUUCCUGUAACAUUGACCUAAGGUUUACUUUUUGUGUAAUAAGAAAGCAUUUUCAGCACUGCAAAAAUUAUACAUUACUCCUAUAGAAAUUUAGCAUAUUAAUUUUCAUUUCAAUGCAGGUAGAACACAUGAAAAGAAGAAACACUUUUUACAUUCAAAGAAGGUCUGAAAUGAAAAUUUACUGGUAAUAUAUUGCUUUUAUAACACUCAAAUGGAGAAAAAAAAAGACAAGUUUCACAAAACAUUGCCAUAAUACACAAAUAUAAAAGGCACUCUAAUAUUUCUUACAUGACUAAGAAUAAAAAUCACAAUUUUUUUAAAAUCGUCCUCAAGAUACAUAACCAAGUUUCUCAACAGUACAAUGGAUAAACAAUUCAUUUCAUGUGUUUGUUCUAAUUCAAUAACCUGGCAGUUGUUUACUGCAUAAAAGUACCAAACACAUUAUGGUGCCCUUUUAGUAGCGAUGAACAGAAAUCCCCUGAGCUAUUUCACAGCAAUGUCAGGCAGUCCAGAGGUUGUAGCUUGGUAUUUAUGAGAGGGACUCAGGACCCUAUCAUCCUGCUAUGGAUUCCACCUGCAGCUGUAGUUAAAAUACAGGAGGAAACAAUCCUGCUAAUAUACCUGGACACAUAGCUGCCUCUCACCAAAUACCCUUCCCUUGGUGCAGACACAGUUGUCCACGUACUGUGAAUUGCAGGAUCCAGAGUUAAGUGCAAUGGCUAAGUAUGGUAACUCUGCUCUUGUAAAAAGUCCACAGAAAGGCAAGGCGAUCAUUUACAAGAGUAGAACUAUUCCCAUGCUUAAAUACCUGCCCUAAAUUACAAAUCUAUUUCUAAAAGUGAUAAAUUAUAUUACAGAUUAAUGUACUAGCAUACAAGAAACAGGAUUCUGGUAACUCACAUGAGAUGUGGGACAGAUCAGUACUGAGUGCUUCCAAGUGUCUCGCUCGCUGAUAGUUUUCCUCCUAAAUACACCAUACUCAAAACCUGACUUCCCAAUGCCCUUAAGAUGCUAACAAAUCAUAUGCUUCUAUGAUUUCUGGAAUAUUGCAUACUUACAUCAUUGUUAGUUUGCAGAAAAGUUAAAUCAGUGAAGCUUAGAUUUGGUUCCUAGAAGGAUCAAAAUAAUUCAGUAACCACCAGUGCUUCCAGAAUGUUGUACACACCAUUAAGAGGCAGCUGUUGCAGUUACCAGAGUCAUGAGGUAUUGCAAAUAUACAGAAAUAUUUUCAGUAACUCUGUAUGGUAGCAAGUAAAAAUACUGAAUUUCCUUUUUAAAUGGUGGUGUAAAGCAACACAGCAUCCUCUUUGCAAAAAGCACUGGUUUUCUCCUAAUAAAGCAACUUCAUGUGGGAUAGUCUAACUUUUUUUUUUAUCAAGGUGAGACUUAAAAUUAAUCUUGCCAAGGAACCUUGCCAAGGAACCACCUACAUCUCCAGUUAAAAUAAGAUUAAAAGGCUGAUCCUGCUGUUAGACUGGUGGCAGCCAUUCCCCGUUUGUUUGUUUGUUUUCAAUGCCAGCAUUCCACAUAAAGAAAGCAAAAUUUGGGAUUUCUAUUCAUUUCUGAACAGAUACCAGUGAAAAUUUUAACACUGAUCUCUCCCCUUAUUUUCAGUGCUUAAAGUAAGGUGGUUAUUGCUAUUCUACAAUUUUUUAAAGAAAAAUCGAUCAUAAAAAUGUUAUUUGUGCUAUUUCUGAGGAGAAAACCAGAGUUUCAGGUGCUCUGUCAUUAUACUAUAGAAAAUAUAGAGUUGAAGGAAAAGAAAUAGUCACCUUUAGAGACACUAUCCCUUGUGAUUUUUUACUGUAAACGUUGGAAAUUUGUUAAUGUUCAAGGAAACAGUAUUUGAUUUUAGCUAAUGUUCAAGGAAGUAAAAUUUAGCAAGGCAAGAUAAACAACAUAAAGAUAUUUUUCCUAAUUAAAGAACUGGAAUUUGCCAAUGGAUUUUUAACAGUACAGUGGAACAUGGCUAAAAUCUGCAACUAAACCAAAAUGCCUUACUUUGCAUUUACCCUGCCAAAAGCGUGCACUGAGGAAGCUCAUCUCAUCCUUCCAGCACAGCUGUGAGUCUGCAGGCAGCCUGAGCGUGAGCCACGGGAACUUUAACACCCUGACUCCACGCUGUGUUACCUUUUCCCCUCUUUGCUGUAGCUGGACAGUCUUCCCUCACUUGUCCGGAAAAGGGUUUGAUGCCUUUCUUAUACUCUUAAAUGGUGGAAGGUGUUUUGCCUUGUGCUUUUUACCAAGAUAGCCUGUGGAGUUAACCUUUGCAUUCCACAUAAGAUGAUGAGUACUCACUCUCUCCACGUGCAUCAGCCCUUUGUUUUUCUACUCAGGCCAUCAGUCUUGCCUAGAUUCACAUUUCAUUUCAUAUCAUGCCAAACAGUAUCGACAAAAGCUAACUAGGAGAGCAAGCCAUAGUUAUUUGUCCUGGGCAUUUGUUUCUUCUCAAAUAAAUAUAAACACAUUUACAUUAAAAGUAUAUGAACAUAUUCUUUAGUCUGGAAAAAAAAAAAAACAA